UCCGUAGUGGUGUAGUGGUUAACAUCGCUGUCUCUCAUCCCUCAUAGGGUGAGGACACAGCAGCCCGGGGUUCGAUUCCCCGCUACGGAA
rnacentral:tRNA from 1 species